UACGUAGGGUGCAAGCGUUGUCCGGAAUUAUUGGGCGUAAAGAGCUCGUAGGCGGUCAGUCGCGUCUGCUGUGAAAACUCGGGGCUUAACUCCGGGCCUGCAGUGGGUACGGGCUGACUUGAGUGUUGCAGGGGAGACUGGAAUUCCUGGUGUAGCGGUGAAAUGCGCAGAUAUCAGGAGGAACACCGGUGGCGAAGGCGGGUCUCUGGGCAACUACUGACGCUGAGGAGCGAAAGCGUGGGGAGCGAACAGG
rnacentral:rRNA from 1 species